rnacentral:rRNA from 1 species
AGUGAACGCUGGCGGUAGGCCUAACACAUGCAAGUCGAACGGCAGCACAGUAAGAGCUUGCUCUUACGGGUGGCGAGUGACGGACGGGUGAGGAAUACAUCGGAAUCUACUUUUUCGUGGGGGAUAACGUAGGGAAACUUACGCUAAUACCGCAUACGACCUACGGGUGAAAGCAGGGGAUCUUCGGACCUUGCGCGAUUGAAUGAGCCGAUGUCGGAUUAGCUAGUUGGCGGGGUAAGGGCCCACCAAGGCGACGAUCCGUAGCUGGUCUGAGAGGAUGAUCAGCCACACUGGAACUGAGACACGGUCCAGACUCCUACGGGAGGCAGCAGUGGGGAAUAUUGGACAAUGGGCGCAAGCCUGAUCCAGCCAUACCGCGUGGGUGAAGAAGGCCUUCGGGUUGUAAAGCCCUUUUGUUGGGAAAGAAAAGCAGCAGGUUAAUACCCCGCUGUUCUGACGGUACCCAAAGAAUAAGCACCGGCUAACUUCGUG